rnacentral:rRNA from 1 species
UACGAAGGGGGCUAGCGUUGCUCGGAAUCACUGGGCGUAAAGGGUGCGUAGGCGGGUUUUUAAGUCAGGGGUGAAAUCCUGGAGCUCAACUCCAGAACUGCCUUUGAUACUGAAGAUCUUGAGUCCGGGAGAGGUGAGUGGAACUGCGAGUGUAGAGGUGAAAUUCGUAGAUAUUCGCAAGAACACCAGUGGCGCAAGCGGCUGACUGGCCGAGACCUGACGCUGAGACGCGACGGCGUGGGGAGCAAACCGG